GAUCCUGGCUCAGAUUGAACGCUGGCGGCAUGCUUUACACAUGCAAGUCGAACGGUAACAGGGAGCUUGCUCCGCUGACGAGUGGCGAACGGGUGAGUAAUGCAUCGGAACGUACCGUGUAAUGGGGGAUAACGUAGCGAAAGUUACGCUAAUACCGCAUACGCCCUGAGGGGGAAANCGGGGGAUCGUAAGACCUCGCGUUAUACGAGCGGCCGACGACCGAUUAGCUAGUUGGUAGGGUAAAGGCCUACCAAGGCGACGAUCGGUAGCUGGUCUGAGAGGAUGAUCAGCCACACUGGGACUGAGACACGGCCCAGACUCCUACGGGAGGCAGCAGUGGGGAAUAUUGGACAAUGGGCGCAAGCCUGAUCCAGCCAUGCCGCGUGUGUGAAGAAGGCCUUCGGGUUGUAAAGCACUUUUGUCCGGAAAGAAAUCUUCCAACUUAAUACGUUGGGAGGAUGACGGUACCGGAAGAAUAAGCACCGGCUAACUUCGUG
rnacentral:rRNA from 1 species